rnacentral:rRNA from 1 species
CCCUUAGAUGUCCUGGGCCGCACGCGCGCUACACUGAUGCAUUCAACGAGUUCCACCUUGGCCGAGAGGCCUGGGCAAUCUUUUGAACGUGCAUCGUGAUUGGGAUAGAUUCUUGCAAUUUUUAAUCUUGAACGAGGAAUUCCUAGUAAACGCCGAUCAUCAAUCGGCAUUGAUUACGUCCCUGCCCUUUGUACACACCGCCCGUCGCACCUACCGAUUGAGUGAUCCGGUGAAUUAUUCGGACUGCAACGCAACCAGUUCCUGGAUGCAGUUGCGGAAAGUUUUGUGAACCUUACCACUUAGAGGAAGGAGAAGUCGUAACA